rnacentral:rRNA from 2 species
UGGGGAAUAUUGCGCAAUGGGGGAAACCCUGACGCAGCGACGCCGCGUGAGCGAAGAAGGCUUUAGGGUCGUAAAGCUCUUUUGUAAGGGAAGAAAGACGAGAGUGCUAAUACCAUUUUCGAAUGACGGUACCUUACGAAUAAGCCCCGGCUAACUACGUGCCAGCAGCCGCGGUAAGACGUAGGGGGCGAGCGUUGUCCGGAAUUACUGGGCGUAAAGAGCACGUAGGCGGGUAUUUAAGUCAGGUGUGAAAGACCGCAGCUCAACUGCGGGGUUGCACCUGAAACUGGGUAUCUUGAGGGCAGGAGAGGGAAGUGGAAUUCCUGGUGUAGCGGUGAAAUGCGUAGAAAUCAGGAGGAACACCAGUGGCGAAGGCGACUUUCUGGACUGACCCUGACGCUGAGGUGCGAAAGCGUGGGUAGCAAACAGG